rnacentral:siRNA from 1 species
UCCAAGGUCUUGCGAGAAAACUAU